AUUUAUGUAGUUUAUAAAAACAUUAUAUUUUCAUUAUAAAAAUAAUAUUUAAUAUAUUCAUAAAUU
rnacentral:tRNA from 1 species